rnacentral:rRNA from 1 species
AUACGGAGGGGGCUAGCGUUGUUCGGAAUUACUGGGCGUAAAGCGCGCGUAGGCGGCUUAUCAAGUUAGGCGUGAAAGGCCCGGGCUCAACCCGGGAACUGCGCUUAUUACUGAUAAACUAGAGUCCGGGAGAGGGUGGCGGAAUUCCCAGUGUAGAGGUGAAAUUCGUAGAUAUCGGGAGGAACACCAGCGGCGAAGGCGGCCUUCUGGACGAUGACUGACGCUGAGACGCGAAAGCGUGGGGAGCAAACAGGAUUAGAUACCCCGGUAGUCC